AUACGGAGGGUGCGAGCGUUAAUCGGAAUUACUGGGCGUAAAGCGUACGUAGGCGGUUGGUUAAGUUAGAUGUGAAAGCCCCGGGCUUAACCUGGGAACUGCAUUUAAAACUGGCGAACUAGAGUUGAGUAGAGGGGAGUGGAAUUUCAGGUGCAGCGGUGAAAUGCGUAGAGAUCUGAAGGAACACCAGUGGCGAAGGCGACUCCCUGGACUCGAACUGACGCUGAGGUACGAAAGCGUGGGUAGCAAACGGGAUUAGAUACCCCGGUAGUCC
rnacentral:rRNA from 1 species